rnacentral:rRNA from 1 species
GAAUAUUGGACAAUGGGCGAAAGCCUGAUCCAGCAAUGCCGCGUGCAGGAUGAAGGCCUUCGGGUUGUAAACUGCUUUUUUACGGAACGACAAGCUUUGGGUUAAUACCCUGGAGUCCUGACGGUACCGUAAGAAUAAGCACCGGCUAACUACGUUCCAGCAGCCGCGGUAAUACGUAGGGUGCAAGCGUUCAUCGGAAGUACUGGGCGUAAAUCGUGCCCAUUCGAUUUGGUAAGACAGAGGUGAAGUCCCCGGGCUCAACCUGGGAACUGCCUUUGUGACUGCAAGGCUAGAGUACGGCAGAGGGGGGUUUAAUUCCUCUUUUAUCACUUAAAUGCCUAGAUAUUCGGAGGACCCCCCAUUUCUAAGGCCACCCCCUGAGCCUGUACUGACGCUCAUGCACGAAAGCGUGGGGAGCAAACAGG